GCUCCUCAGGUGACUUUGAAGCCUCUAGAAAGGUUAGACAACAUGGCUGAUUUUUCUCAAGUAGACUCCUCAUCAUCUUUGGAUCUAUUUAAUGGGAAUAUUACUCUAAUGUCUUGCAACAAAGAUCAUACGAUGUUUUGGCUAGGCUCGACUAAUCUUGCAUUGGGCACAACUCAACUUGCUGCACACAUUUCUGAUGUUGAUUGCAUCUUGAACUGCGAUCAAGAAUCCUUCCAC
rnacentral:misc_RNA from 1 species